rnacentral:ncRNA from 2 species
ACAUCCCGCGCGGGAGAGUCCCCGCGUGCACCCGGACGGGUCGCACGGCGGGGCGCCGAAGGGGCAAACUCCCCGGAACCUCUCAGGCGCCAGGACUGCGUGGGACAG